rnacentral:misc_RNA from 1 species
AAAAGUUUUCCUGCACCCUUACAUUCAGAUUUAACAUGUUUCACUCCUAUUUCUUUUGCUUGUUCUUUUCUCAGUGCAUAAUAUUCUUCUUUUGUAACUACUUUUGUUCCAUAGGGAAUGCAUCCAAAUUUCUUCACUGAGAAUUUCCUAAAUGCACUUUUUGCACUUUUUUUGUUAAAACGGCUCUUUUACUAUUCUUGUGUUUAUACCGGAACUUUUAUCCCUGUAUAUAUUCAUGAGUCUUGACUUCUUUACCUUAAUAGAGUAAUAUGUUGCAAGUUUGUGAUGUUAUCUUUCAUUGUUGAUGCAACCAGCAUAGUUAGUUUCUCAGAGUUUACUACUUUUUGCUUGUAUCCUGGUUUUGAAGAAAAU